CUCCACAGCUGUCGUCAAUGGACAAAUGCUGUAGCAAGGAUCAUGGUGGCGAAAAGUCUAGUGUCUUUAGUGUUUCUAAUUUGUUGCAUCGUUGGAACCGAGAACAAUAAAGAUAUUUUUAAUGGACAAACAUCUAAACUUUCCAGCUACACGGUUGUAAAGCCUCAGCUUGUUCACAGGAGAUGGGCAAGAAAUGCCGACAGACGUCCUGACUGGGGAAAGACUGAAGAACCAGAGGAACGUUCUUAUUCAUUGAUCAUUGACAACAAGGAACAUUUCCUACAUCUACAAAAGAACACAGAGUUUUUAUCCAAAAGCUUUGUUCAGUUUUCCCAUGAUGCCACUGGGAAUCUGACGCCUACAUAUCCUAAACCUGAUG
ensembl:lncRNA